rnacentral:lncRNA from 1 species
UACAUCUUUGUGUUUGCUUUGCUAUUUUCUUCUUUCUUCUUCCUUUGAUUUGAUAAUCCGCUGCGGUGCUCAAGUGUUUUACCCUAUUGAUACCAGGGGUAAUCUUUUGCCCUUCGUAGCGGAGCGAAGAGGUGAUCCUUGAGUCCGGUGUCGAGAGAGCGAGAGAGUGCUUAUCCGUUUAUUCUCUCUUUGCUUGUCCGACGUUGGUGGUGGUGCCGGUGUGAGUGUGGGUUCCGGCACAGUCGCUGCCCCCAACAAGUGGUAUCAGAGCUAUUGGUAUUCUGCGAUGGCGGAUGAAGGGAAGUUGCGAAUUGAGAAGUUCAAUGGCACGAACUUCGGAUUUUGGAAGAUGCAAAUAGAGGAUUACCUUUACCAGAAGGAUCUCUAUUUACCUCUUGGAGGC